rnacentral:lncRNA from 1 species
AAUAUAGCUAAGGUUGUAAGCCUGGCCCCUACAUUCCAGGAAAUCUCUACAAUUUUGCACCAAGCCACAAACUUCUGUCUUAUUUCAAGCAAAGAAUUGCCAGCUUUUGUGGAUCUGAUAUUUCUAUUUUAGAUGCAGACAGCUGAGCCAACCCUCAACAGUUUUCUACAGAAAGACAUUCCUGGAAGAUUCAGGACAUGUGUUAAAGUAUGAAAACAACAUUU